rfam:Xenopus tropicalis strain Nigerian Chr06_contig_1076, whole genome shotgun sequence.
CAGAGCCGCUGUGUGGUUUAGGUAGUUUUAUGUUGUUGGGCAUUCACCUUUCUCUCUACAACAAGAAACUGCCUUAAUUACAUCAGUGGGA